UCAGCACUCACCCCAAUAUCUGACUCCGGGAUUUUAUUAUUAAGCCCAAUUAGAAUUUGUGCUACACUAACUUCCAAAUGUAUGUCUAUAAAAUAUGGGAGACAGAAAAGCAAAGCACAGUUACUCCUCCACUGCCCACUCCACGUUUCCUUUGUCCUCCUUCAGAACCUCAAUUGGUCAGUGCUCUCACCAUGACAACAUGAUUCCUCAACAGAGGGUACAGCAGUGUUUCAUUAUUCUUCAGUACCAGAACAGAAGUUCUACCGCAGCACAUCCCAGUGAGUCCCCAAUUACAAAGACCCCUUACUUCAGUACAGCAUCACCUCAAUUUCUCCUCAGUCACCAGGAGUAAGUAUCCUUAGGAGAGUAAUAGCUCUUCUACUUUUUGGUUCACUGACAUAAAGAGCAAGUACUGCCUUUAUCUUCCAACUCAACAGAACUGUUCUGUGACCGCUGGUGGAAAUAUUUAUUUCAAAUCCUCGCUCAUUUCCAAGUUGCUAGAAUAACAAGACGACAUUCUGGGUUCUGGCGUAUACUGAAGAGUAGCUGAGAUAUCUGGCCUCAUGGACUGAACAACUACUGGAUUCUUGGACCUUCCAGUUUGCAGGCAGCCACUGUUGGAUUAGCUGGACCAUUCUAAUAAAUCCCCUUUCUCUGAGAGAGAGGGGAGUGGUAGAGAUAUUGAUUGAUUCAUUCUAUAAGUUCCGUUCCUCUAGAGAAUCCUAAUACACCAAGUUUUACAAUAAAACUAAAGUAAGUA